CUUGACUGUAUUCUGGAAUGGAAUUCGGGCUUUUCUUGCGCAGCCUAGGUGGGAGGCUUUGAAGAUUUCCUUCCGGGGAAAUUGGAGCCAUCCGUGAGAGACCACUCUGGGAAGGCUAGAAUUCUAAUGGCGAUCCUUGAAUCAGGACGCUUGACAGUUUCAGAUGGGCAGUUUUUCUGGGGCGGAAACCUCCAAAAAGGUAACGGAGGUGCGCAAUGGUUCCCUCAGUCUGGACGGAAAUCAGACAUUGAGUGUAAAGGCAAAAGGGAGCUUGACUGUGAGACCUACAAGUCAAACAGGGGCGAAAGCCGGCCUUAGUGAUCCGACGGUGCUGAGUGGAAAGGCCGUCGCUCAACGGAUAAAAGUUA
rnacentral:rRNA from 1 species